rnacentral:rRNA from 1 species
AGAGUUUGAUCAUGGCUCAGGACGAACGCUGGCGGCGUGCUUAACACAUGCAAGUCGAACGAGAUCCAUUCAGUAGCAAUACUGAUGAAGAUCUAGUGGCGAACGGGUGCGUAACACGUGAGGAACUUGUCCCGGUCUCUGGGAUAACAGUUGGAAACGACUGCUAAUACCGGAUGACGUCGGAACUUCGCAUGGAGUACUGACGAAAGGGUUACUGGAUCGGGAGAGCCUCGCGGCCUAUCAGCUUGUUGGUGGGGUAAUGGCCUACCAAGGCAUCGACGAGUAGCUGGUCUGAGAGGAUGAUCAGCCACACUGGGACUGAGACACGGCCCAGACUCCUACGGGAGGCAGCAGUGGGGAAUCUUGCACAAUGGGCGAAAGCCUGAUGCAGCAACGCCGCGUGCGGGAAGAAGGCCCUCGGGUUGUAAACCGCUUUCAGAAGGAACGAAACUGACGGUACUUUCAGAAGAAGGUGCGGCCAACUACGUGCCAGCAGCCGCGGUGACACGUAGGCACCAAGCGUUGUCCGGAUUUAUUGGGCGUAAAGAGCUCGUAGGCGGUUCAGUAAGUCGGGUGUGAAAACUUUGGGCUUAACCCAAAGCGUGCAUCCGAUACUGCUGUGACUUGAGUACGGUAGGGGAGCGGGGAAUUCCUAGUGUAGCGGUGAAAUGCGCAGAUAUUAGGAGGAACACCGGUGGCGANNNNCGCUCUGGGCCGAAACUGACGCUGAGGAGCGAAAGCAUGGGUAGCAAACAGGAUUAGAUACCCUAGUAGUCC